CCUACGGGAGGCAGCAGUGAGGAAUAUUGGUCAAUGGGCGCGAGCCUGAACCAGCCAUGCAGCGUGAAGGAUGACUGCCCUACGGGUUGUAAACUUCUUUUAUAAGAGAAUAAAGUGAGGCACGUGUGCCGUUUUGUAUGUACUGUAUGAAUAAGGAUUGGCUAACUCCGUGCCAGCAGCCGCGGUAAUACGGAGGAUCCGAGCGUUAUCCGGAUUUAUUGGGUUUAAAGGGUGUGUAGAUGGGUUGAUAAGUCAGUGGUGAAAGUUUGGGGCUCAACCGUAAAAUUGCAAUUGAUACUGGCAGUCUUGAGUACAGUUGAGGUAGGCGGAAUUUGUGGUGUAGCGGUGAAAUGCAUAGAUAUCACGAAGAACUCCGAUUGCGAAGGCAGCUUACUAAACUGCCACUGACAUUGAUGCUCGAAAGUGUGGGUAGCAAACAGGAUUAGAUACCCUUGUAGUC
rnacentral:rRNA from 1 species